UCACUUUUUUCACUUUAUUUAUUGUACCAAUAGGUCUGGUUCCAGUUCUUGGGCGAUGUUCACACUCAUACAAAUAUGUUCCCAGACAUUAAAAGCACAAACAAUUUUUUUUUUGUCAUUUACAUAUCUACAUUUAUGUCAUAUCACCCUGACAUAUCUAGUCACAUGAUCUCAAUGUAUGCUCGUGUAUCACACACACACACACACACACAAAGCAUCUCUAAUAUACUGGUGGGCUUCAGGGACCAGGUUGAGACAUGCUAAUUUAAAGCUAACAGGUAAAUACUUGGGGGACACUUAUGACUAAUAUGUGAUAGUGACUGUAACGAUUCAGUCACACAGGUCCAUACUAAAAAACUAAAAAUCACAAACAUGACAACAACCCAAUAGACAAGCAGUUCUCUCCCAUCCUUGACCUGCGUGGCCACUUCUAUUAACAUGUGAGAUCUUUUCCAGAUGCUCAUUAUCAAAAGUCAACUUCCCGCCGAACCCAAACUUUAUAAUUAACUCUGACCCAACACCACUAUCCUCAAGAUAACUCUUAAAAACCAAGCACUAUCCUCAAGAUAACUCUUAAAAACCUGGCACUAUUCUCAAGAUAACUCUUAG